ensembl:lncRNA
CCUUGCCCUCAACCUUCUCUACCUCACAUCACCUCCUGCCUGGAUUAUCACACAGGCUUCCAUCUGGUCUUACAGGUGUGUUGACCUUUUUUAUCCAAGCAGAUUAAAAGCUUAUGAAAAGCAGAGGUCCUUUUUAUACUUUUCCAGCUCUCCAGGCUAGCAGAGUGCUGAACAGCAUUUGCAACUGAGAGCCUGUAUGUACCAUUUGAAGCCUGAUGAUCUUCCAAUUCUAAGGGGGACUUCAUAAUACUCACAAUCAUGCAUAGCUCUUGGCACUUCCAAGGAUGAAUGUGUUUGGCUGUGACAUGACUCCAGUGUCCUGGCCAGAAUUGCUUGGAACAAAGAUGAACCCUGACCAGUCCAACUCUUCCAAGUUGCAGUUUUUAAAAUGAAGUUACCGGAGUUCUAGUUACAUUUGCAUGUUUUGCCUUCUUCUAACUCAUUUAACCCAUAAGCGCUUUCC